UACGAAGGGGGCUAGCGUUGCUCGGAAUCACUGGGCGUAAAGCGCACGUAGGCGGAUUGUUAAGUCAGGGGUGAAAUCCUGGAGCUCAACUCCAGAACUGCCUUUGAUACUGGCGAUCUUGAGUCCGGGAGAGGUGAGUGGAACUCCGAGUGUAGAGGUGAAAUUCGUAGAUAUUCGGAAGAACACCAGUGGCGAAGGCGGCUCACUGGCCCGGUACUGACGUUGAGGUGCGAAAGCGUGGGGAGCAAACAGG
rnacentral:rRNA from 1 species